rnacentral:rRNA from 1 species
GACGGAGGGGGCUAGCGUUGUUCGGAAUUACUGGGCGUAAAGGGCGCGUAGGCGGCCGAGUGUGUCAAGGGUGAAAUCCCAAGGCUUAACCUUGGAACUGCUCUUGAAACUGCUUGGCUAGAGUGAGUGAGAGGCGGACGGAAUUCCGAGUGUAGCAGUGAAAUGCGUAGAUAUUCGGAGGAACAUCGGUGGCGAAGGCGGUUCGCUGGUGCUCAACUGACGCUGAGGCGCGAAAGCGUGGGGAGCAAACAGG